rnacentral:lncRNA from 1 species
AUCCUUGGACUCCGACUGCUGGGGGAAAGGGAAGGUGCAUUCCGGUCUCUUGACUGAUUUUGCCGUACCCCACCCUUGCCAAAGGUGAGAUCCAUUUCGCAUCCCCUCCUCCGGGUGUGAGGACGCCUCGCAGCCACAGGCCGGCCACGCAGCAAAUCACCCAGCGCUUUGAUCUUUUAUCAAUUCGUAGGUGAAGCUGAAAAUGUGUAUUCCACGGGUUUUUAACUUCCAAAUUCUUUUAUUAUGAAAAGAGAGCAUAUCACACGAUGCUAUUUUGUGUGUGUAUGUGUUUUUUUUUAUAAGCUGACUGCUUUUUCUGUUUCGAGUUUCUAGAGAGUAUUAGUCAUUUCUUAAAGACUUCACUUAUAAGAUAUUUCAUACCAUAAAUGCAAUCAUCAUCAAUGUCUGAUCAAUCUUUCUUUUUUCACUCUUGCUUUUCAUCUUGCAUGUGUGUGGGAGGGGUGUAUGCCUUUAAAUUGCUAUUUUUAAAGAAGCGAUUACUCGUUUAUACGUGAAACAUUCCAGCACUCUCUUUUAUGCCUUCUUAGGUUUUUUUUUUAACAUGCUUAACACAUCACUGCACCAGAAAGAAUCUUUAUGAAAUCACCACACUUUCGGUGUUUUCCUGGUUUCUUUUUUUCCUUUUCACGCUUAAAUCUUUGAUCCAGCUGGAAUUUACUAUGGGUUUGGCCAUCUCUGAAAGUUUCUGUCAACCACUGAUGGAUGUAAUUUGCAAUUUAUUGACCAGAGAAGUUGACGCCCUUUUUCUGUGUUUAUAAGCCACUUGAAUUCACUUCUUCGUGAAUUGUCCAUUUGUGCCCUUUUUUGUUCUUCUAAUGAGUAUGUUGCAGGUGAAAAUAACAAAAUCCAGGGCGGGCCUUUACUGAGCACUUUCUGUGCGAUUUCACCAUGCUACGGCCUUACACACACCUUUCCUUUGAACCUCAUCACAGCCCACAUUAUGGAUGCGAAUAUUGACCUUAAAAGCUGAUGAGGGCACGAGUUCUUCAAAACCUCAAAGUGAAAAUGUGACCUUCCGGAGACUGGAAUCGAGCCACUGUGGUUGGCCCAGGUCUGAAAUCUAUCCCGCUGUAUCCAUCCUCCAGACCGGGCCUCUGCGACUCCUCGCUUUGGAAGGAAAUUUUCAAAUUCCAGUGCCUACGGGUAGAGCUUCCUAGAACACAGCCACGUGCACUUGGCACUUCGCGGCCAUAGCGGCUUUCAGGCAGCGCCAGUGCGGGCUUAGACCAGUCUCCCACGGACGCUGGCGGCUGUCGGCGCGAUCCUGCCGGCCCAGGUGAUGUCCUGCCCUUGUGGUUGGAUUCCUGCCGCU